rnacentral:rRNA from 1 species
GAAACAGGUUAAUAUUCCUGUACUUGGUGUUACUGCGAAGGGGGGACGGAGAAGGCUAGGCUAGCCGGGCGACGGUUGUCCCGGUUUAAGCGUGUAGGGGGUGUGACCUGGUAAAUCCGGUUGCAUAUCAACCCUGAGGCGUGAUGACGAUGCACUACGGUGCAGAAGUAGUUGAUGCCCUGCUUCCAGGAAAAGCCUCUAAGCAUCAGGUAACAUUAAAUCGUACCCCAAACCGACACAGGUGGUCAGGUAGAGAAUACCAAGGCGCUUGAGAGAACUCGGGUGAAGGAACUAGGCAAAAUGGUGCCGUAACUUCGGGAGAAGGCACGCUGG